rnacentral:rRNA from 1 species
UACAGAGGGUGCGAGCGUUGUCCGGAAUUAUUGGGCGUAAAGAGCUCGUAGGCGGUGUGUCGCGUCGGCCGUGAAAACCUGCAGCUUAACUGUGGGCUUGCGGUCGAUACGGGCAUCACUGGAGUUCGGCAGGGGAGACUGGAAUUCCUGGUGUAGCGGUGAAAUGCGCAGAUAUCAGGAGGAACACCGGUGGCGAAGACGGGUCUCUGGGCCGAUACUGACGCUGAGGAGCGAAAGCGUGGGGAGCGAACAGG